rnacentral:tRNA from 1 species
GGCGCUAUCGUCUAGUGGCUAGGACGCCAGGUUCUCAUCCUGGUAACCGGGGUUCGAUUCCCCGUAGCGCUACAA